GAUGAACGCUAGCGGCAGGCCUAACACAUGCAAGUCGAGGGGUAGAACACUUCGGUGUUUGAGACCGGCGCACGGGUGCGUAACGCGUAUGCAAUCUACCUUGUACAGGGGAAUAGCCCAGAGAAAUUUGGAUUAAUGCCCCAUAGUAUAUAACCUUCGCAUGUUGGUUAUAUUAAAGUUCCAACGGUACAAGAUGAGCAUGCGUCCCAUUAGUUAGUUGGUAAGGUAACGGCUUACCAAGACGAUGAUGGGUAGGGGUCCUGAGAGGGAGAUCCCCCACACUGGUACUGAGACACGGACCAGACUCCUACGGGAGGCAGCAGUGAGGAAUAUUGGUCAAUGGGCGCAAGCCUGAACCAGCCAUGCCGCGCGCAGGAAGACGGUCCUAUGGAUUGUAAACUGCUUUUAUACAGGAAGAAACCCUCCCACGGGUGGGGGAUUGACGGUACUGUAGGAAUAAGGAUCGGCUAACUCCGUGCCAGCCGCCGCAGUAACAC
rnacentral:rRNA from 1 species